GCUUUUGACACUGUUGCACAUAGAAGGCUUAUCAAUAAACUGCAAUCUUUAAGUUUGGAUUCAAAUAUUGUUGAAUGGGUAAGGCAGUGGCUGAGUGACAGGCAACAGAGGGUUGUAGUUAAUGGAAUAUAUUCGAAGGUUGGACUUGUCACCAGUGGGGUACCUCAGGGAUCUGUACUUGGACCCAUUCUCUUUAAUAUUUUUAUUAGUGAUAUUGCAGAAGGUCUUGAUGGUAAGGUAUGUCUUUUUGCUGAUGAUACUAAGAUAUGUAACAGGGUUGAUGUUCCAGGAGGGAUAAGCCAAAUGACAAAUGAUUUAGGUAAACUAGAAAAAUGGUCAGAAUUGUGGCAACUGACAUUUAAUGUGGAUAAGUGCAAGAUAAUGCAUCUUGGACGUAAAAACCCAAGGGCAGAG